rnacentral:rRNA from 1 species
AUUGAACGCUGGCGGCAGGCCUAACACAUGCAAGUCGAGCGGCAGCGGGACCUUCGGGUUGCCGGCGAGCGGCGGACGGGUGAGUAAUGCCUAGGAAUCUGCCUGUUAGUGGGGGAUAACGCGGGGAAACUCGCGCUAAUACCGCAUACGUCCUACGGGAGAAAGCGGGGGCCCUUCGGACCUCGCGCUAACAGAUGAGCCUAGGUCGGAUUAGCUAGUUGGUGGGGUAAUGGCCCACCAAGGCGACGAGCCGUAACUGGUCUGAGAGGAUGAUCAGUCACACUGGAGCUGAGACACGGUCCAGAUUAUUACGGGAGGCAGUCGGGGGGAAUUUUGGACAAUGGUCGAAUGCCUGAUCCAGCCAUGCCGCGGGUGUGAAGAAGGUCUUCGGAUUGUAAAGCACUUUAAGUCGGGAGGAAGGGCUGUAGGCUAAUACCUUGCAGUUUUGACGUUACCGACAGAAUAAGCACCGGCUAACUUCGUGCCAGCCGCCGCCGUAA